AUUGAACGCUGGCGGCAGGCCUAACACAUGCAAGUAGAACGAGUGGCGGACGGGUGAGUAAUGGCUGGGAAACUGCCCGAUGGAGGGGGAUAACUACUGGAAACGGUAGCUAAUACCGCAUAACAUAGGAUGUGCACAGAUGGGGUUUGCUUGUAGGUGAGGUAACGGCUCACCUAGGCGCCGAUCCCUAGCUGGUCUGGGAGGAUGACCAGCCACAGUGGAACUGAGACACGGGCCAGACUCCUACGGGAGGCAGCAGUGGGGAAUAGUGCACAAUGGGCGCAAGCCUGAUGCAGCCAUGCCGCGUGUAUGAAGAAGGCCUUCGGGUUGUAAAGUACUUUCAGCGGGGAGGCGUUACCCGCAGAAGAAGCACCGGCUAACUCCGUGCCAGCAGCCGCGGUAAUAC
rnacentral:rRNA from 1 species